UUUGGAACUUGGAAGAAUUGGUUAGGCAAGAAGAAGAGGGAUUUGGCUAAAAGAAUAUCAAGGAGAAUUGAGACCUGAGAUUUGGGGGACACAGAGAGUGCGUUUUCAGGGAGGUUGUAGCUCGUCGGUUGUGCACGAGUCAUUUCAGGAGUUGCUAGCUUUCAGCAUAUACGAGAGAUAUCAUGGUUAGACCGCGGCACGGGGCAAGUACGAGCGGUGUGAGUGACGAGGAUAUUCGUCAGAUGAUCCAUGAGGAGGUGGCGGCGGCGAUCCGGGCUGAGAUCCCGGAGAUGUUUGGGUCUAUCAAGACCACCCUGAUGGAGACGUUCGACGAGCGGUACGCCGCAUUGACUGAGGCUGCAACCGCUGCAGCUACCGCAGCUGUGGCCGCUGCUAGGCCACAGGGGGGUGAUUCACUGCUGUUCCGAGAGUUCAGCAACACGAAGCCACCAGAGUUCGAUGGGACGCAGGAUCCGAUUGCUGCGAUGAGGUGGACCGCAGAUAUAGAGGGGUGCUUCUACACUUGUUCAUGCCCG